rnacentral:lncRNA from 1 species
UUUUAUCUAUUUAAAGACUUUUAUAAUUGAGAAAUAAAGAGCACUUUCACUUGCAUAUUACUUUCCUCUAUUAUUGCUUUCAAUUUGUAUCAAUGUCACCACAGGGAGAUGAUCUCAUUGUCGCUAGUAUCUGUCGAAUCAUCCAUAACAUUAGCAGAGCCUGUGUUCACAAACGCAUCACCAAUUUCGUCUCCUGCACUUUCAUCAGCUACAAUCUUAUGGAUGCAAUUGUCACACCACCAUCGCUUACGUUUUGGAAUGUCUAGAGGAGGAAGUUACGUUGCUCCUCGAGGUUACUACUUGAUCCAAAAGUUGAAAAAAUAUUCAUGUCCUUCUUUCUAAUCUCAGCAAUAUAUCG